rnacentral:lncRNA from 1 species
UUUUUUUUUUUUUUUUUUUAAAGAAGCUUAACAUGAGCUCUACCUUCUUAACAGUUUUUUUUUAGUGUACAAUACAGUAGAGUUAACUACAGGCAUAAUGUUGUACAGCAGAUCUCUAGAAUUUACUCAUCUUGCAGAGUUCAGACUUUGUGCCUGUCAAUUAGCCAUUUGCCAUUUCAGCUGCCCCUCAGCCACUGGUAACGACCAUUGUAUUCUCUGAUUUUACGACUUCGACUGUUUGAUACCUCAUAUAAGUGGAAUCAUGUGAUAUCUGUCCUUCUGUGGCUGGUCUAUUUCAUUUAGCAUAGUAUCUUCAAGGUUCACCCAUGUUCUUGCAUAUUGCUGGAUUUCCUUCUUUUUUAAAGUUGUAUAAUACUCCAUUGUAUCUAUACACCACGUUUUCUUUACCUGUUCCUUUGCUGGAAAUUUAGGUUGUGUAUCUUGGCUAUUGUGAAUAGUGUUUCAGUGAACACUGGGGUGCUAAUAUCUUUUCAAGAUACUGAUUUCAAUUUGUUUGGAUAAAUACCCAGAAGUGGGAUUGUGGGCUCAUAUGGUAGCUCUAUUACUAACUUUUUGAGGAACUGCCAUAUGUUUUUCAUAGCAGCUACAAUAGCGUACGAGGGUUUCAAUCAUUCCACAUCUUCGCCAACACUUACCUUUGUUUUUAAAAUAGCCAUCCCUACAGGUAUGAAAUACUAUCUCAUUGUAGUUUUGAUUUGCAUUACAUACUAAUGAUCAGUGAUGUUGAGCACCUUUUCAUAUACACGUUGGCCAUCUUUAUAACAUCUUUGGAAAAAUGUCUAUUCAAGUCUUCAGCUUAUUUUAAAAAUUGAGUUUUAGGGUUUUUUUUUUUUUUCUAUUGAGUUAAAGUUCUUUACAUAUUUUGGAAAUUAACCCCUUAUGUUAACCCCAUUAAGUAGGUUGCCUCUUCACUCAGUCGAUGGUUUCCUUUGCUGUGCUAACACUUUUCAAUUGGAUGGGGUACUACCUAAUCUAUUUUUGCUUUUAUUCUCUGUAGUUUUGGUGUCAAGUCUUGAAAUCACUGCCAAGACCAGUGUUAUGAAGGUUUCCCCCUAGAUUUUCUUCUAGGAAUUUUACAGUUUCAGGUUUUAUAUUUAAAUCUUUAAUCUACUUUGAGUUGAUUUUUGUGUGUAGUAUAAAAUAUGGGUCCAAAUUUACUCUUUGUAUGUGGAUAUCAAUUUUCUCAUCACCAUUUAUUGAACAUACUAUCUUUUUCCCAUUGUGCACUCUUGGCACCGUUACUGAAGAUCAAUUGACAGUAUAUUUCUGGGCUCUCUAUUCUUUGCUUCUGUACAUAUCAUUCCCUCUGCUUGAAAUAUAGUUUUCCCUUUUCUCCACCUGGAAAAUUUUAUUCAACAUUCAAAACCCUACUCAAUGUUACCUCUUCAGUGAAAUGUUUCCUAAUCCCAAAGGCUCUAUCUUUCGGAGUUUACAGAGCAUUUUUAUCAGAGCACUUAUUGCACAAUCUCAGGGUUCAUUCUUGAUAUUUGUGGGUUUGCAGGUGUUCUGGAUGAAGGGUGGUCAAUAUCUGAUCUGUGACUUAGUAAGCUCAUGCUUAUGGCAGAACGAAGGACACACUGGAGGUGAGAAGGCACCAGAGGUGGAGAGACCGGUUAGAAUACCAAAGUCAUACAGUGGAAAGAUGAUAGUAGUAUAACCUCAGAUGGUAGCAAUGAAUGGAAAGAAAUUAAUGAAUUUCAGAGAUAUUCAUGAAGAGGAAUCGUCUGGAUUUGGUGUCUGAUGGGAUCUGGAAGUUGAGAGGAAGAGAGGAGUCUGAGAUGAUCCACUUUAAAAUUCUUAGGUUGCAGUCCUGAAAAUCCUGCAAGGUGUGGGAGUUCAGUAUGAGAAAAAGCGCAAUCCAUUAGAAGCAUAUCCACAAAGCUACACUGAAAAAUAAACCUGCUUCCAAUCUCUAUUUGCCAUGGCAUAAAGGCUGCCAGGAAACACCAUCAAAUGGCUUACACUUGACCUUUACUAUGUAUUCUUAACAAAGCCUGUCAAAAGAUAUCAAUUCAUCCAGAAAGAAAAAUAAAGCAUAAUAGUUUAAGAGGCAGGAUAACAUAUAGUAUCGGGCUAAGGAGGGAGAAAAACAUUUUAAUAAUAGGUCUCAGACUUGGUUUAUUUUGUCUGCAGCAUUCACUGACAAAAGUGUCUUUGAAGGUCAGGAAUACUUAAUAGACUCCUUCCCUUUCCCCUUCAUACUUCUCCCUUUUCUCCUCCUCCCAAACAACUCCUCAAAAUGGUCUUAGUAGAAAAUCUUGCAUUUUAAUAGCAGUUGUCUUUUGGUUAUUAUAGUAUGUUGGAUUAAGCUGACAAUUCUCCUUUUAACAAUACUCAAAGAAAGCUUGGAAAAAUUAAUGCUACGUUGUUUUUCUCCCUGCCAAAGAAUAUAGCAUUGUAAUUGUCUCCUGGAGAAGAAGCACUCUAAUCAUCUUUAACUUUAAAGUAAAUUCAUUUCAGGAAGAUGCUUUGAGACAAACAAUUGACAGAGCAAAUCAGGGCUCCUAGGAGAUUGUGAAGUGAUGGAUUGAGUUGAGGAAAAUGCCAUAGCCGAAUUCAAUUCUGUGAACAUAACUUAAGAGCUUCUCUGCAACAAAAUAGCACUGUAUGGAGGAGAGUCAUGUUCCAUUGUGGGAGAAAGGCUUAAACGUUGUACAAUUUCUUAACACCUAAGAGUUCUAGGCACUGCAGAGGCAACAAGGGUACAACGCAAUUAUUCUGAUUAAACAGCAGAGGAAACUGUUAUACCAGGUGAAGUCAGAGUGUGAAAGCACAGGAACUUUCCAAAAUUGCCUUUAAAAAGAAUCCAGGACUGGCAAAGACAUAAACAUCCUUUUAUUCCAACUGAUGUCACUGGGAUCUUAGAAUGCUCUCAAAAGCCAAAGUGUUACUCUGAUUUAGGAGAUCGCUUCAAUUUUCAGUCCUUCCCUAAUGGAAUCCAUAACCAAUCCUCCACUGUUGUUUGUUGUUUCAUUAUUUUUUGAGCCCCUCCUCUUAGGUUUGAGGAAAUACAUCCUUUGGAAACAGAUUUGGAGUGGUAAAUUUACAGACCUGGUAAAUUAACAGGCUCAGAAUUUCCAGGAAAUUGGGCAUGUGCCUAAGUUGGUGUUGGAAAGAAGAAAUAGAAUAGCAAUAAACUAAGGCCCUGAAUACCUGACCAAGCAGCUUAGCCUUCUGGACAGAUGCCAAACAUGAGCAUAAAGCCACAGUGCAGUGAACCAAUUAUAUUUAAGAAUCCCACCUUUGGGUUUCUAAAAGGCAAUUGUUUUCUCUGAUACACAGUGUCUCAAAUCUGGUUUUCUAUAAAGUGAAUGGUGCCAAAAGCAGUUCUCAUAUUCCUUUGUUUUUCACCAGCUACUUCCAGCCUCAACCCAGUCACAAACCUCAUAGACUUGUUAGGAGUGCUGCCAAAAGACAGGGAGACUUUAAGGCAGUGUGUCUCAUCGCUGGCUGCAUAUUAAAAUCCCCUGGGGAACUUUUUAAAAAUACCGAUGCCUGGCCCCACCCCCAGAGAUUUUGAUUCAAGUGGUCAGGGUGGGGCCUAAGUGGUUCAUGUUAAAAUGUUACCAGGUGAGGAGUUCACAUUGUGGCUCAGUGGGUUAAAAACCUGAUGUUGUCUCUGUGAAGAUGCAGGUUUAAUCCCUGGCCUUACUCAGUGGGUUAAGGAUCAGGCAUGGCCGCAAGCUGUGGUGUAGGUCACACAUGCAGCUUGGAUCCAGUGUUGCUGUGGCUAUGGUGUAGGCUGCAGCUGUAGCUCCAAUUCAACCCCUCACCUAGGAACUUCCUUUUGCUGCAGGUGCAGCCAUAAAAAGAAAAAAAAAAGCUACCGGAUGAUUCUAAUGUGCAGCCAGAACUGAAGUACACUGGUCUAAAUGUAGCAAAUGAGUGUACGCUGUCCAAAGAGGUUGUUUUUUUUUUUUUUUAAGUUAAAACCCAAUGACACUUGGAGAAUAAGUUCAAUUUCUCAUUAUCUACAAUAUGCAGGGCUCUGAAUUGGUUGUGUGGUAUAAAUAGGUUAGACCUAAGCUUGUCUGGGCUAUGAUGCUUCUAUGGAAAAGUUGGAAAGAUUACAAGGGUUUCUGGCAACCAAAAAAACCCCAAACCAAAACAUGAAGUCUUGGGAAAAAAAUUCAGGCAAAGUGUAAUUACAGGAUUACAUUCCUUUCCUUGGUCCAGGAGGUAACAGCUAAAAUACUUAAGAAAUAUUUUGUCUGUUUUCUUAUCUAGGGAGGAAGAGUCCUCACUGCCUUGGGGAUUGGUCUCCAAUCUCAAACACUUAGGUCCCCAGGCCAGUCACCGCUGCCAUCAAAUAGAUCAUUCGUUUGCUCUACUACAUAUACAACAUCAUGAAGGAUGGUGGGAAGCACUGCAUCUAAACUACAACUACAUUUAAGAAAAUCAGGGUGCAGUGUGGUUUGCCUAUGUUACCUGUCACCUCAAUGAUUCCUUAGUGAUUCCACUGAACUUUAGGAAAGAUCUGGUAAAAAGUAAAAAAUGCAAAGGAAGGACGGAGUUAAGUAUAGCGGAAGUACAGGCCAUAAAGACACAAGCUCUGGUCUCUGUUCUUCCAUCAGCUUAGUGGAGAACCUUGGGCAAGUCAUUCUCGGUCAAGGUUUCCUCAUCUGAAGGAUGACAGUUGAACUAUGUGAUCUCUAACCUCUGCUUUUAAAAUAAAACAAUGAUAACAAAUGUGUAGAUGGAAGAUAUUUAUAGAAACCUGAUAUACAACUCAGUAAUGGGGUAGAAAACUAGAAGAAUGCCUUCCUAGCAUCACCUACCCAAAACUUAUUUCGCAGUCAGUAAAGGAUUUAAUAGUAGUACAGUCAAGGCACCCUGAAAAAAAUCAAAGCAUUUCCAACACUGCUCCAAAAAAAUCGCCUUAAGAAUUUUGCUAAUUAUAAACCCGAACUUGUUAAGGAAGUGCAGAAAAGUUGUUUUUUAAAAAUAAGAUGUUUAAAUACCAAUAUAUCUUUUAAGUAACUUGUUGUCAAUUAAUAUUAUUUAGAGCACAAUUAUUGUGAAACUCAGAAUAAGAAUCUAACACUGAAAUGCUAAAAACAUGUCUAACAUGUUAGGAAUAAAUUACCCUAAUUGACCAAAGCUUUGCUCACAAUAUAAGACAUUUCAAAAUGUAAUGAUGCACUGACAAAAAUUCUUGUAUCCCUCUGCCAAAGUUAUAGGGACUGCUAUUAAAUCCAAGUAUGGUAUUUGUGUACACAUAAGAGCAGGCAACAAUUACAAUUUGGAGAUAUUUUAAAUUUAAUCUUUUUAUUUAUUAGUAUUGUUAUAUAGCAAUGAGCAUUCAGAAAAAAAACUAAUCAGUGUGCAUUAUGCAACAAUCAGACAAAAUACUCCUAAUCCUCUGUCAUUCUUUUUCCUUGGCCCCUGGGUACUCAUUAAAGGUUAAUUUAUUUAAAUCUCUCAAACAUUCAUUUCAAUCUACUUUAAUAAACUAAUGAAUCUUUGGAACUUUGCCUAAUCAGCUUAUGUUUUCUAUUUUAAUACAUCUAUAAAAUGUCUUUUUUUCUAAGCUCAUUCUUAAUAGUUGUCUUCCCUCUUGGAUACAGAAUUGUGCUUCGGUAAUAACCUGAUUUGAGCAUUUGGUAACACACUUAUAACCUCAUCCAACACACAGAGAAUAGCUGUGGCUUGCCUAUUGCUCUUAAACACAGUUACAUUCUAGAGGACAGCGAAUUGAUUUAUGUUCAGUAGGAUAAUAAUCCUCCAAAUUGAAAUGGUCAUUUUGCAGUUUAGUGGGAGUGACAAUUAUAUUGCACCAAAGCUUCUAACAACUUUGGUGCCUGUCAAAUGCUAUGAGGGCCUAUCAAUGAAACAACUCCAUUCUGGUCAUUGCAAACCAGAGCAAUGCAUGGUAAGGGCCAUGUGAGUUGGCAAAUAUAGGAGAAGUCUUCAAAAAAGUAGUACCAUAUAAAUGGAGUCAAAACUUGUAACUUACAAUCUGUUGAACUGCCAUAUUAAAUACAUUUUGUUUAAUGGUAACUUUAGGGAAUCUUUCAUGUAACUAUCAUUAAGGUGAAUGUUCUCAGGGUGGUGGCCA